UACGGAGGGGGCAAGCGUUAUUCGGAUUUACUGGGCGUAAAGGGUGCGUAGGCGGCUGUGCAAGUCCGAUGUGAAAUCUUCACCGCUCAACGGGAAGAGGUCAUUGGAAACUGCGCAGCUCGAGUAUGGUAGAGGCGAGCGGAAUUCCUGGUGUAGCGGUGGAAUGUGUAGAUAUCAGGAAGAACACCCGUGGCGAAGGCGGCUCGCUGGGCCAUCACUGACGCUGAGGCACGAAAGCGUGGGGAGCAAACGGGAUUAGAUACCCCGGUAGUCCACGCUGUAAACGGUGCGCACUAGGUGUGGGGGGAGAUCGACCCCUCCCGUGCCGACGUUAACACAUUAAGUGCGCCGCCUGGGGAGUACGGCCGCAAGGUUGAA
rnacentral:rRNA from 1 species